rnacentral:rRNA from 1 species
AACAAACGCUGGCGGCGUGCCUAAUACAUGCAAGUCGAACGGGCAUAGCAAUAUGCAAGUGGCGCACGGGUGAGAAACGCGUGGAUAAUCUACCUCUUAGUGGGGAAUAACCCUCCGAAAGGAGGGCUAAUACCGCAUAAGACCACAGAUGCUGAGGCAUCAGGGGUCAAAGGGGGCUUCGGCUCUCGCUGAGAGAUGAGUCUGCGUCCGAUUAGCUAGUUGGUAGGGUAACGGCCUACCAAGGCGAUGAUCGGUAGCUGGUCUGAGAGGAUGAUCGGCCACACUGGAACUGAGACACGGUCCAGACUCCUACGGGAGGCAGCAGUAGGGAAUAUUGCACAAUGGAGGAAACUCUGAUGCAGCAACGCCGCGUGAGUGAUGAAGGCCUUCGGGUUGUAAAGCUCUGUUGUAAGGGAAGAAAAAGGGGCAGCUAAUACCUGUCCACUUGACGGUACUUUAUAAGAAAGGAACGGCUAAC